AGGCUGGGAGCGGCUGCGGGGCACUCGCGCGCUGCGCUGGGAAUUUAGUCAAACUUGGUCAUUUAGAGGUCGUAAAAGUCGUAACAAGGUUUCCGUAGGUGAACCUG
rnacentral:rRNA from 1 species